rnacentral:misc_RNA from 1 species
CUUGGUCUCUCACUCACUUACUACCUUAUAGUAUAGCAAAGCCAAAGGCGUAUAGCGCGCCGAACGUACGGCUGUUCCAUCGCGUUAGCCAACAGUAUUUCGCCGGUAUUUUCGGUUUCUAGUCGCGGAACGAUCGCCCUUUCCGUCAGGGCCGGCCGCGUUCCUCUCGCGUUUUCGCCAGGGCGCUGCUCCAGAGCACGCUCGCGCGGUUCGCCAGCACUACGCUUCCUCUCGCUCGAGUACCGCGCCAGCCCUUUUACCGUCUCCCUUCUCGUCGUCUCCUAGCUUGGCUCGCAGCUAGCGAAUCGCUGGCGAAAACCGACUGCGGAAACCGACUCGUAGGCAACUUCCGUACGUGCGCGUCUCGUGGUACACGAUCCACUUCCCUAUCGAGUUUCGCGAACACGAACCGUGUUACGUUAGUGAUGUGCCAGGGAAAGUUCAACGUUCCUCCAGUUGCCUUGCGAAGUAACCCGAGUCACGUGAUUGUCCGCUAUUAUCGUGGAUCAGUUGUUGGCCCGUUGCAUGCUGUUGGGUGCGUGCCGCGUCGCGACGAGCGUGGCCAACGCCGCCGUCGGAGCAACGGGAUGCCAACCAGCUUAUUACCACCCUCACGAACGCGAUCCAUUAAAUAACGCCCACUCGAACGGUUACCCUUCGCUUGCUGUCCUUUCGAAUCAGUUACGAGGACGCGCGGUGAAGUGCCUGACGCGCGAAGAAGUCUUAGCCACGGUAAACGCGGUAUGCGAGCACGAGAGCAGCGAUUAAAGUGGACAGUGAACGAGUCGUCUUGACGAGAGGAAGAAAUACAGUCAUCCGACGACGAGUACGCGUGUAGGUAAGUACGUUACCUCGGACAACCGCAGCCACGUCAGCCACCCCUUUUCUUCUCGAAGGCCGCAACGCUUAGACGACUGACACGGUAGCCGUAACAGUUCACUCGACGUAUGCUUUUACAGCAUAUCCAUCUCCUGUAGCCAGCGCGAAGAAUGCCAACCAAAGGACGAGGACGUGGACGAGAACGAGCAGAGGACGGGGGGGAAAAAGAGCGUUCGAAAGAGCUUGUGUGACGUUUGCAGGGGUCAGUCAUAGGGAAGGGGCGCAAGCGCAGUUAUGUUCGUGAGACUCGCGAAGCACAUGGUCGCCCUGACUCCUCUUCCACGGUCCUGUCUCGAUUUCCUAUCUUUCCUCUGGGGUUCAACCGUCUAAAUAAUUACUUUGCCUAGUCGCAGCUCUAUUUACAAGAGUGUUUGUUUAUCUUACACGGCCUACCGUGACGAAAGGGACGCCUCGAGGAAUAAUCCUUCGAAUUCCAUUUAGAAACCGCGAUGGCCAAGGAUCGUUGUUUAUUCAAAGUUCGAUCAGAUUGUUAUAUUCUUGGAUAAGGUUACGAGGUUUGUAAGUAAAUACGUUGUUCGGGACUCGACGAUGAGUAAUCAGUGAAUGACACUUGUUUUGAAAGUGAGGAACGCGCAAAAGGAUCCAUCAGGACUUUGAUCGAAGUGGUUUAUAUUAAGUGUUUGGAGAGAAUGUUCUUCGAAGAAGCGAGAGAAGAGAAAAGGAGCAACAAUCGUUGAAGAGUAGAUGGUCGUUCAGUGCAUAAACCCGAUAGAUGUUGUGAUGUUAUAAAUAUA